AUGAACGCUAGCGGCAGGCUUAACACAUGCAAGUCGAGGGGCAGCAUAAUGGAUAGCAAUAUCUAUGGUGGCGACCGGCGCACGGGUGCGUAACGCGUAUGCAACCUACCUUUAACAGGGGGAUAACACUGAGAAAUUGGUACUAAUACCCCAUAAUAUCAUAGAAGGCAUCUUUUAUGGUUGAAAAUUCCGAUGGUUAGAGAUGGGCAUGCGUUGUAUUAGCUAGUUGGUGAGGUAACGGCUCACCAAGGCGACGAUACAUAGGGGGACUGAGAGGUUAACCCCCACACUGGUACUGAGACACGGACCAGACUCCUACGGGAGGCAGCAGUGAGGAAUAUUGGUCAAUGGACGCAAGUCUGAACCAGCCAUGCCGCGUGCAGGAUGACGGCUCUAUGAGUUGUAAACUGCUUUUGUACUAGGGUAAACUCACCUACGUGUAGGUGACUGAAAGUAUAGUACGAAUAAGGAUCGGCUAACUCCGUG
rnacentral:rRNA from 1 species